rnacentral:misc_RNA from 1 species
GUCCGGGGGUGAAUGGCUUGAGUGGGGGGACCGUAAAUACCUCCAUUUUUCAUCUAAGGACUGUGAAAAGCAUAAGAGAAAUCGUAUUGAGCUUCUUUAGGGUGGGCAAGGAACUGGAUUGAUAAUCAAAGCAACUUCCAGCAGAUGGCGUUGGAUUUCUUUGGUUCCUUGUACAAGGAGGAAGUGUCUCAAUCUCCUAAAUAUCCUAUUUGUGUGGAAAGCCCCUGGUUUGCUGGUCUUCAUGCAGGUUUCUUUCAGAAUCAAUGGCCGAUUGCUGCCAAGGAUAUUUGUGCUGAAGUUAGGAGAAUUUUUUGCUAGUGGAAUGAUGGAUGCUUCUAUGACCCGAACUUUGUUAUCCCUCAUGUCGAAGGUUGAGCAUCUAAUUUCUCUCUCUCAGUUUAGGCCUAUUGCUCUCUGUAACGUGAUUUAUAAGGUAAUUACUAAAGUAAUAGCUAAUAGGCUUAAGAGGAUUCUGCCAAAAGUCAUUGGCCUAAAUGAAACUUCUUUUGUUCCAAGGAGACAAAUCACUGACAAUAUUAUUAUUGCCUAGAGAUGAUGCAUUCGAUAGGAAUUAAGAGGUGCAAAUUGGGUUUUAUGGAUGUCAAAAUUGACCUGAAAAAGGCCUAUGAUAAGGUUCGGUGGAGCUUUCUAGAAGAUACUUUGAGAGAAAAGGAGAUUCCAGGUUCUCCCACUACUGCUAUUUUAAAUUGUGUCAAUUCUUCCUCCAUAAAAAUCUUAUGGAAUGGUAAUGUUACAUUCUUUUUCCCCCUCCUGAGGUCUAAUACAG